rfam:Candidatus Woykebacteria bacterium RBG_13_40_7b RBG_13_scaffold_2673, whole genome shotgun sequence.
UGUAUAUUUUACCCGAAUCCAAAGACAGUGGGCGCCGGAAUUAGGCUUAAUAUCCCACCGAGGGUGUUCAGAUUUCAGGUUUUGAUUUCUUCACUCCUCGGUAGCGAGGAGUUUUUAAAUGAUCAA